rnacentral:rRNA from 1 species
CCUAAGGGAGGCUGCAGUGGGGAAUAUUGGACAAUGGGCGAAAGCCUGAUCCAGCCAUGCCGCGUGUGUGAAGAAGGCCUUCGGGUUGUAAAGCACUUUCAGUGGGGAAGAAAGCCUUGGGGCUAAUACCCUCGAGGAAGGACAUCACCCACAGAAGAAGCACCGGCUAACUCCGUGCCAGCAGCCGCGGUAAUACGGAGGGUGCGAGCGUUAAUCGGAAUUACUGGGCGUAAAGCGCGCGUAGGCGGUCUGAUAAGCCGGUUGUGAAAGCCCCGGGCUCAACCUGGGAACGGCAUCCGGAACUGUCAGGCUAGAGUGCAGGAGAGGAAGGUAGAAUUCCCGGUGUAGCGGUGAAAUGCGUAGAGAUCGGGAGGAAUACCAGUGGCGAAGGCGGCCUUCUGGACUGACACUGACGCUGAGGUGCGAAAGCGUGGGUAGCAAACAGGAUUAGAUACCCCUGUAGUC